GAAAUGCGAUACGUAAUGUGAAUUGCAAAUUCAGUGAAUCAUCGAGUCUUUGAACGCACAUUGCGCCCCCUGGUAUUCCGGGGGGCAUGCCUGUCCAAGCGUCAUUUCUGCCCUCAAGCACGGCUUGUGUGUUGGGCCCCGUCCUCCGAUCCCGGGGGACGGGCCCGAAAGGCAGCGGCGGCACCGCGUCGGGUCCUCGAGCGUAUGGGGCUUUGUCACCCGCUCUGUAGGCCCGGCCGGCGCUUGCCGAUCAACCCAAAUUUUUAUCCAGGUUGACCUCGGAUCAGGUAGGGAUACCCGCUGAACUUAAGC
rnacentral:misc_RNA from 1 species